rnacentral:ncRNA from 1 species
CUGGUUGAUCCUACCAGUAGUCAUAUGCUUGUCUCAGAGAUUAAGCCAUGCAUAUCUAAGUACAAACCUUAAAACGGUGAAACAUCGAAUGGCUGAUCAAAUCAGCUAUGGUUCCUUAGAUCAUAUAUACUACAUGGAUAACUGUAGUAAUUCUGUAGCUAAUACAUGCAAUUAUGUCUUGACCGGCAAGGGAACGGGUGCAUUUAUUAGAAGAGAACCAACCGGGAGCAGUUUCGGCUGUCUCUAUUGAAUUCUGUGAUGACUCUGGAUAACUUUAAUGAUUGCAGUCGGCCUUGUGUUGGCGGCGGAUCUUUCAAAUGUCUGCCCUAUCAAUUUGUUAGUAGGUGAUUUGCCUACCAUGAUAAUAACGAGGAAUCAGGGAGCCUGAGAAAUGGCUACCACAUCUAAGGGCGGCAACAGGGGCGAAAAUUCCUUUAGGCCAACACCAGGUGGGAAAUUAGUUGUGUCAGAAACCUUUAAAAAAUGUCAGCUUUAAUG